rfam:Tetrasphaera australiensis Ben110 genomic scaffold, 2552_scaffold1
CGCGUUUUCGCUCAGGCGGAGCUCGACCGCCGACUCAAGUGAUCGUGGCCUAUAUCGACGCCUAUCGGGGUCAGUUCGGCGCCCAUGCCGAUCUGUGCCGUGCUGACCGAGCACGGCAUCACGAUCGCGCCG